CCUUUCCCCACCGCUUUCUCAUUUCCUUUCGUUGGCUUGCAGACGAGUGAGCAGAUAACGUCGAUGAGGUCGCGUGGUCGCCGGCGACCACGACGGCGCCUACCGUCUCGGAGCAGAGGCUGGAGGCCGCAAGCCUUUGCGGCGCACUCCCUCUGGUUGCCGCACGCGAGACGAGCUCUCCGCGUCGGAGGCGAGGAGCGGUGGAGGAAAGAGGCGAGUAGCGGCGGCGGUCCUCGCCCUGGACAACGCGGCGGCGCGCCCCGUCUCGGGGCAGAGACCGGAGGGAAUUGCGGCGCACUCCCUCAGGCGACCGCGGGCGUGAGGAGUAUUUUCGCAUCGGGGGCGUGGAGCGGCAGAGGCGUGCGCCGACGAGCGGCGGUGGCGAGGAGCGGCACAGGCGAGGGCCGAGGAGCAGCGGAGGCGAGGCGGGCUGCGCCGUCCUCAAAAUAGUGCGACUUGGGGCCAUGGGUGAGGAGAGACCGCAUGUUGUGCUCCGACAUAUCUCGGUUGGAGAGCUUGAGCGCGAGUGCGGCAGGGAACCAGCUGUUUGCGGCGGCGAGGACCGCGGGGGGAACCAGCUCCUUGCGCGGUGAAAGGAGCUACACAGCACCGGAGUUGUCGGGUCUGACGCCACCGGUGGCGCUGGUGACAUCGGGAGAAGGUCGGCAUUCUGAAACCACCACCGCUCCGGCCACUUCGGUCGCAGAUGCAGGCCCCCGCCCCGCCUGCCUUCAUCAUCUUCGUCCCCGCAGGCCAGGCCGCUGCUCGCCCAUUCUUCUCGCAGGCUGCCAGUUUGUGGUUUGUUCUAGAACAGAUGGCAAGUUAGAGAUAAAAAUGUGACCCAUUAAAAAUGAUGGCAAAUUUGUUUGCAGUGA